AAAAAGGGUGCUCGCUACUUCGAUAGCGCGUCAGUCUAAUUAAAUUGGAUUGGCGGGGUAUGGCUAUCAAGACAUACCCAGUACGUAAUUUUUGUGAAUGCGAGGCCGUUGGCUGCCAGUUGCACCGACGCCUCC